rnacentral:lncRNA from 1 species
CUUCCUUCCUGUAGAAUUUCCGGUCUGGUCACACUCAUUCAGCAACAGCAGCACCACCACCACCACCAGCAGCAGCGGACAGCCCUGAGGAGCAUGGGGCCUGCUGGGACUCGUCUCCUGCUAUGCUUCAGCUCCUGCCCAAUCACUUACCUGUGCCAGGAGAAGCCUCUGGACAUGCCUGGGCAGCCUCUGGACAUGCACUGCUCCCAUUCCUCGCUGAGAGGGCAUCUCCCCGAGUGCCUCUCCAUCCCAGUAGACUCUCCAGAUGUGCCCAGUCCUCAACUGGUGUGGCCUCACCAGAGAGACUCAGACCAAACAGGCCUCCACAGCCUCUCUCUAGACACUUUCUGGGAAACCACAGUGGAAUACAAAAGGUCCUCAUUUGCCCUGAACCCUGGGAAGCCCUGUGGCAUUGGUUCAUGAGUGCUGUGGUUGGUUAUUUGGAACUUAAUUCUCUUGGUAUUUGCCACUUCCCAGUUGUCCCCUUUACUGUUCACAGUCCCCACCUAUAAUCCUCGGCUUCCUGGCACUUCCGGAGCCCAUAUUAACGUACCAAUUUUUUGUACCCCAUUUAGGGCACCAACUGUUCUGAUCUCUUGAAGAGCUCCUCAGGCAACCUUCUGUUUCUAGCAAGAUGAUACACCCAAGCCUUGAUGACAAGGCUUGGCUCUCAACCUCCUUGCUCCCCACCUCCUGUGAAAUACACAAAGAAAUUCAGUGAUCAUCGGGGAUGCUCUGGUCCAAACACUACCUGCCAGCCAGACGCAGGAGAUGGAUGGCUCAGCAGUAAUCGUGCUGCUUGAGCUUGGUGUCUAAUGGGGACAGUAGUGACAGGAAGUUCACAGGGACUGGAAGACAUGAGUUCUCUGAGGGAAAGGAAGGUGAAGCCUGGUGCUUAGGACCCUCAGGAGACCAUAGGAUGUGAGAAGGCUCAAGACACCCAGAGGUGGGGUCAGAAACAGGGCAAAGGAGACCAAGCAUGGGAGAGCUGCAGUGGACGUGUACAGACAGGAGAAGCAGGCCCUAAAGAAUCCCUGAGGCGGCAGAGAGGCUGGGCUGUGGAACUUUUUAAUUACUUUGCAUUAGGGGACUGUAGAGACCCAGAAGCCCACCCUUCCCCUCCCCUCAUCAGCUUAGCCCCAACAUAUGGUGGCUACCAAAGUAGUUAAAUCGGCUCUUGGUAGAAAAGGAAAGAGAUUCCUCCCAGGCUCUUCCCAGGGUCCACGGCCACACUCCAGGAGGGCUCAACUCCAGGGCAAGGCAGCUGGGACAGCAGGCAGCUGAAGGAGGACUAUUACUGCACCUUAGGGAAGAGUGCAGUGGCGAGUGGGGAGGACUCUGCUGGGACCCGGGGGUCAUGUGCAUUCCCAUUUAGUUGAGCUCUGCUUAAUCCGGGCCUAGGCUCACAGUAAUGGGGAACGAGGAGAGGCUCCCAUCAGAGACCAAGAAGAUGACAGACUCUCUGUAAAGGCUGUCAGAGGGGUCUGCAUGACCAACCACACCUGCUCCUGUUCCUUUGGGGCUCUUGUGACCUCCCUGUCUUCUUGUGAGAUCUUAUGUUCCUCCAACCCUGAGAGCUACAAACCAAUCUCCGGAAUAAAAAAAUCUGUCCCUCGUGCUGUCA